UGGCUCACGCCCAUUCACGGGUGAGGGUGAAAAGGUGGUGUAAGAGACCACCAGCAGGGGCAGCAAUGUCGCUGGCUAGGCAAACCCCACUGGGAGCAAGGUCAAGCAGGGUCGAAGGGCUGCUCGUCCUUAUGAGAUCCGGGUAGACUGCAUGAGGUGUUUGGCGACAAACAUCCCAGAUAGAUGGCCACCCCCGCUGCGGCGGGACAGAAUGCGGCUUAUAGGCGGGCUUGGACG
rnacentral:RNase_P_RNA from 1 species